AUAAAUUGAAAAGAUUUAUUAUUUCGAUCAAAUGGUAUCAAAAGAAAGAAUUUUUUUCACCUUCAAUUGACGGCGAAUAAAAUUCCGUAUGCGAGAUAUAUCGAGGUUGGAAGGAAGAGAAGAAUAAAAAAAAAAAAAAUUCACACGCAUACAUGCACGUACACGUGCACGUGUACGCGUGCGCGCGCGCGCGCGCAGGUAGAGAAAGACACGUACGUACACAAAGAUGGUAAAAGAGCCUUGGCACGACCUUCGACUUCCGCAAGGGCUCGGUUUUUUCUCUGAAUGAGAACACGCGCAAGCGAAUUGCAUUUAAGAGAAUCCUCUUUUCUUAAAGGUUUUCCACCGUUGGUUGGUGCGACUAAGCUAGGUAUCGGAGAAAUAACAAUGCAAUAUGUCGAGGUGGAAAAAAAGAAAAAAAGAAAAUUAACGACAAUUUGAAGAAUUCGAUAACGUGUUUCAAUGAUACACCGUGGAAUUUAUCUAUUUGGCAAAGUAAUGGUUCAUUAUACAAA
rnacentral:lncRNA from 1 species